rnacentral:rRNA from 1 species
UACGAAGGGUCCAAGCGUUAUCCGGAUUUAUUGGGCUUAAAGGGUGCGUAGGCGGCUUAUUAAGUCAGUGGUGAAAGACUUCAGCUUAACUGAAGAAUUGCCAUUGAUACUGAUGAGCUUGAAUAUACUUGAGGUGGGCGGAAUGUGUCAUGUAGCGGUGAAAUGCUUAGAUAUGACACAGAACACCGAUUGCGAAGGCAGCUCGCUAAAGUAUGAUUGACGCUGAGGCACGAAAGCGUGGGGAGCAAACAGG